rnacentral:pre_miRNA from 1 species
AUGUUACUCCCUCCGUCUCAAAAUUCUUGUUUUAGAUUCGUCUAGAUACGGAUGUACCUAAUACUAAAACAUGACUUGAUACAUCCGUAUUUAAACAAAUUUAAGACAAGAAUUUUGGGACGGAGGGAGUACUAG